UCGAACGAUGAAGCUUUUAGCUUGCUAGAAGUGGAUUAGUGGCGCACGGGUGAGUAAGGUAUAGUUAAUCUGCCCUACACAAGAGGACAACAGUUGGAAACGACUGCUAAUACUCUAUACUCCUGCUUAACACAAGUUGAGUAGGGAAAGUUUUUCGGUGUAGGAUGAGACUAUAUAGUAUCAGCUAGUUGGUAAGGUAAUGGCUUACCAAGGCUAUGACGCUUAACUGGUCUGAGAGGAUGAUCAGUCACACUGGAACUGAGACACGGUCCAGACUCCUACGGGAGGCAGCAGUAGGGAAUAUUGCGCAAUGGGGGAAACCCUGACGCAGCAACGCCGCGUGGAGGAUGACACUUUUCGGAGCGUAAACUCCUUUUCUUAGGGAAGAAUUCUGACGGUACCUAAGGAAUAAGCACCGGCUAACUCCGUGCCAGCAGCCGCGGUAAUACGGAGGGUGCAAGCGUUACUCGGAAUCACUGGGCGUAAAGGGCGCGUAGGCGGAUUAUCAAGUCUCUUGUGAAAUCUAAUGGCUUAACCAUUAAACUGCUUGGGAAACUGAUAGUCUAGAGUGAGGGAGAGGCAGAUGGAAUUGGUGGUGUAGGGGUAAAAUCCGUAGAUAUCACCAAGAAUACCCAUUGCGAAGGCGAUCUGCUGGAACUCAACUGACGCUAAGGCGCGAAAGCGUGGGGAGCAAACAGGAUUAGAUACCCUGGUAGUCCACGCCCUAAACGAUGUACACUAGUUGUUGGGGUGCUAGUCAUCUCAGUAAUGCAGCUAACGCAUUAAGUGUACCGCCUGGGGAGUACGGUCGCAAGAUUAAAACUCAAAGGAAUAGACGGGGACCCGCACAAGCGGUGGAGCAUGUGGUUUAAUUCGAAGAUACGCGAAGAACCUUACCUGGGCUUGAUAUCCUAAGAACCUUUUAGAGAUAAGAGGGUGCUAGCUUGCUAGAACUUAGAGACAGGUGCUGCACGGCUGUCGUCAGCUCGUGUCGUGAGAUGUUGGGUUAAGUCCCGCAACGAGCGCAACCCACGUAUUUAGUUGCUAACGGUUCGGCCGAGCACUCUAAAUAGACUGCCUUCGUAAGGAGGAGGAAGGUGUGGACGACGUCAAGUCAUCAUGGCCCUUAUGCCCAGGGCGACACACGUGCUACAAUGGCAUAUACAAUGAGACGCAAUACCGCGAGGUGGAGCAAAUCUAUAAAAUAUGUCCCAGUUCGGAUUGUUCUCUGCAACUCGAGAGCAUGAAGCCGGAAUCGCUAGUAAUCGUAGAUCAGCCAUGCUACGGUGAAUACGUUCCCGGGUCUUGUACUCACCGCCCGUCACACCAUGGGAGUUGAUUUCACUCGAAGCCGGAAUACUAAACUAGUUACCGUCC
rnacentral:rRNA from 1 species